GAUGAACGCUGGCGGCGUGCCUAAUACAUGCAAGUCGAACGGGGUGUUUGAGCAAUCGGACACUUAGUGGGCGAACGGGUGAGUAACGCGUUGGUGACCUGCCCCAAAGCGGGGGAUAACAGCCUGAAAGGGUUGCUAAUACCGCAUAUGAUGAUGAGGGACUAGAAACUUAUCAUUAAAGGAGAAAUCCACUUUGGGAGGGGCCUGCGUCCCAUCAGCUAGUUGGUAGGGUAAAAGCCUACCAAGGCGAAGACGGGUAGGGGACCUGAGAGGGUGACCCCCCACAAUGGAACUGAAACACGGUCCAUACACCUACGGGUGGCAGCAGUAGGGGAUAUUGCACAAUGGGCGGAAGCCUGAUGCAGCAACGCCGCGUGAGUGAUGAAGGCCCUCGGGUCGUAAAACUCUUUUCAAGAGGAAGAGGAAGGACGGUACUCUUGGAAUAAGCCUCGGCUAACUACGUG
rnacentral:rRNA from 1 species